UUGAACGCUGGCGGCAGGCCUAACACAUGCAAGUCGAACGGUAACAGGAAGAAGCUUGCUUCUUUGCUGACGAGUGGCGGACGGGUGAGUAAUGUCUGGGAAACUGCCUGAUGGAGGGGGAUAACUACUGGAAACGGUAGCUAAUACCGCAUAACGUCGCAAGACCAAAGAGGGGGACCUUAGGGCCUCUUGCCAUCGGAUGUGCCCAGAUGGGAUUAGCUAGUAGGUGGGGUAAAGGCUCACCUAGGCGACGAUCCCUAGCUGGUCUGAGAGGAUGACCAGCCACACUGGAACUGAGACACGGUCCAGACUCCUACGGGAGGCAGCAGUGGGGAAUAUUGCACAAUGGGCGCAAGCCUGAUGCAGCCAUGCCGCGUGUAUGAAGAAGGCCUUCGGGUUGUAAAGUACUUUCAGCGGGGAGGAAGGUGUUGUGGUUAAUAACCACAGCAAUUGACGUUACCCGCAGAAGAAGCACCGGCUAACUCCGUGCCAGCAGCCGCGGUAAUACGGAGGGUGCAAGCGUUAAUCGGAAUUACUGGGCGUAAAGCGCACGCAGGCGGUCUGUCAAGUCGGAUGUGAAAUCCCCGGGCUCAACCUGGGAACUGCAUUCGAAACUGGCAGGCUUGAGUCUCGUAGAGGGGGGUAGAAUUCCAGGUGUAGCGGUGAAAUGCGUAGAGAUCUGGAGGAAUACCGGUGGCGAAGGCGGCCCCCUGGACGAAGACUGACGCUCAGGUGCGAAAGCGUGGGGAGCAAACAGGAUUAGAUACCCUGGUAGUCCACGCCGUAAACGAUGUCUAUUUGGAGGUUGUGCCCUUGAGGUGUGGCUUCCGGAGCUAACGCGUUAAAUAGACCGCCUGGGGAGUACGGCCGCAAGGUUAAAACUCAAAUGAAUUGACGGGGGCCCGCACAAGCGGUGGAGCAUGUGGUUUAAUUCGAUGCAACGCGAAGAACCUUACCUGGUCUUGACAUCCACAGAACUUUCCAGAGAUGGAGGGGUGCCUUCGGGAACUGUGAGACAGGUGCUGCAUGGCUGUCGUCAGCUCGUGUUGUGAAAUGUUGGGUUAAGUCCCGCAACGAGCGCAACCCUUAUCCUUUGUUGCCAGCGGUUAGGCCGGGAACUCAAAGGAGACUGCCAGUGAUAAACUGGAGGAAGGUGGGGAUGACGUCAAGCCAUCAUGGCCCUUACGACCAGGGCUACACACGUGCUACAAUGGCGCAUACAAAGAGAAGCGAACUCGCGAGAGCAAGCGGACCUCAUAAAGUGCGUCGUAGUCCGGACUGGAGUCUGCAACUCGACUCCAUGAAGUCGGAAUCGCUAGUAAUCGUGGAUCAGAAUGCCACGGUGAAUACGUUCCCGGGCCUUGUACACACCGCC
rnacentral:rRNA from 1 species